UUUAGUUUUGGGUCCUUCUAGUUGUGGCAUGUGGGAUGCCACCUCAGCAUGGCCUGACGAGCAGUCCCAGGUCCCGGCCCAGGAUCAGAACUGGCGAAACCCUCAGCCGGGGAAGCAGAGCGGGAACUUAACCACUCUGCUGGGCAGGGCCCAGGCCUUAGGCUUUACGAUGUUUUAUUUACUGCAGAGAAAGAAAAGAUGCUUUUACUAGCACAUCUUGACCGUGCUGGGGAUACAGAGGUGAACACAACACAGACAGGAGCUAUGUUGUCAUGGAGCUACAUUUUAGGGAUAUACCAGGGACAGGAACAUGUAAAAUGACACAUGAAGAUACAAUCAGCCAAAUCCAGAAUGUGAAAAAUUCUUUUGGUCACCCCAUCCAGUUCCUUCAGUAAGUGGCAUCGUCAUCAUCAACCACAAAAAGGGAAGCGGAAUUGUUGUAUUUUAGAAGAGAUCUAGGAGAUACAUCAAUGAAUGCAGCAAGUAGACCUUGCUUGGACCCUCAUUAAACACUAAAAGUUUUUGAGACAAUGGGGGAAAAUUGCAUAUAUACUAAGUAUUAGAUGACAUUAAAGAGUUAUGUUUAAUUUUGUUGGGUGUGCUAAUGGUAUUUUUUAAAGUCCUUAUCUGUUUGAGACACACACUAUGGGGCCAGCCCCAUGACCAAGUGGUUAAGUUCAUGCGCUCCACUUCAGCAGCCCAGGGUUUCACCGAUUU
rnacentral:lncRNA from 1 species